UGCCUCCAGAGAUUGCUUCAUCUGCAUCCAGCAUUGUAGCAAAGUGGCAAAACACAGCUAGUGUCAUAACUUAAAACACCAGUAUUGGUAGGAUACAAUGCAAUGAUAAAUGUAAAAUAGUAAAAUAUAAAGGUCGUUCUGUUCCUAUGUUUGGUUGCACAAAUAAAAGAAAAUGAAUGUAAUAGUUUUUGUUUCGACAUUUAAUUUAUUUGGCAGUGGUUGUAGUGGUGGCAACAAAACAGCAAUUGUGGCAUCUGGGUGGUGGUAGUGAUUGUGAUGGCUGUGCAGGGAAGGGGUGAGAGUUGUGCUGGUGGGAAAAGUAAAAAUGAGUAAUAAAGUGAUUAUAUAAAUUUUUGUAAGUACUAUAUCACAUUACAACUUCUAUUACAUUAUAUUAAAUAAAACCUAAAUGAAUGAGCAUGUAAAACUUGUAUUUAUUUGUUAAAAAUGCUAUUACCUUUCUCUAAUAGCAUUAUCAUAAAGCAACAACAACUUGCAAUCUUUCAAUAAAAAAAGAAAGACUUGCAAUUACAGUUAAAAAGGGUUUAUGAUAAUAACAUAAUAAUAUGUUUCUUUUUCUCAAGUGCAUAUUCUUGAUGGGUUAGCAAGUUCUCACUACCUUGUUUUUCAGGUCAUCCUAACAAGAAACAUUGACUUCCAUAUAUGUGCAUACAUAUUCAAGUACUACAGACUAUGUUGCCACAUUAACUGAUUAUUCUAUCAAAUAAAUGAAAACAUAGAUAUAACAAUUUUAUCCUGCUCUGAUGAGGAAUCUGUGCCCCAUCCUGAAUCCAACAAGGAAUUACUGCCACCAAAGAUAGCAGAGCGGCCAAUUUCCAUUCAUAUGGAGACAAAAAAGCCAUAGGUGCUACCAUAUUCAUUACACAGACCCAUAGUUUCAUUUAGAACAUUUUUAAAGUGUAUAUACAUGUGUGUGUGAGUGUGUGUGUGUGAGUGUGUGUGGA
rnacentral:misc_RNA from 1 species